AGAGUUGUGGCGGAAUGGUAGACGCACGCCCUAACUGUGAGGAGUUAAUCUAUAUGGUUGCUUACGGGAACGGCGAUACUGAAAGACGUAUGUAGGUUCAAGUCCUACCAACUCUA
rnacentral:tRNA from 1 species